rnacentral:tRNA from 1 species
GGCGACAUAGCCAAGUGGUAAGGCAACGGUCUGCAAAACCGUUAUUCAUCGGUUCAAAUCCGAUUGUCGCCU